rnacentral:lncRNA from 1 species
GGUCAUCCAAGCCAGAGACUCCACUCUUGGCUGCAGACCAGAAUUGCUUUUUCAAAAAGACUGAUUCCUGGUGUCCAUCUGAGUGCAGCUACAUCCAAAUCUUUGGGAACAGACCUUGGCAAUCUUGUACCCCAGCAACUGGAACCCUGGGAUCUGAAUCCAACUGUUUGCACCAAACACUUGAAUCUCUACCAAACACUAAUCCAGCCUUUGCCUGAACUUGGGGAUAAGUAACUGGUAGCUCCCACCCAUUUUUCUACUGCCACACCUAUGGCUCUUAUUACAUAAGUAUUAUUACCAGAUAAUGAUUAGUGCUAAGUAACAUUUUUGGGAACUUGGUCAUUGACCUCUUAACACAGUAAUUAAGCUUUCAAGUUCUGGACUGAAAAGGGCCUGGGGGCAAACCUUGCUUCACUUUCUAUUUAUUCUGUGGCUUUGGGCAAGGGAGUAAGAACUCAGCCUCAGUUUUUUCAUCUGUAAAAUUGGGUAGUGCCUGUAUUACAAGGUUUAUGUGGAAUCAAAAGAUGUAAUGUUGUAGGAAGUGCAAGUUGUCUUCUAAAUCUGUCCCUGUGCCUUUUUCUAACUCUUCCGUACAUGAUGUCUGUGGGCUCCACAGCUCCAUAGAGCAAACCCAUGUUCCCUGUCACUAGGCAGCUCUUGACAGACCCCUUUCCUAGUACCUGACCCUAUUUCCUGUUGCCUCAAACCCUCUCUUCUGCCAGGUACAAUGGCACACACCUGUAAUCCCACCAUCUCAGGAGGCUGAGAUACGAGGAUCCCAAGUUCAAGGCCAGCCUCAGCAACCUAGCAAGACCCUAAGCAACUGAGUGAGACCUUGUAUCAAAAAUAAAAGGCUCUGGCUGGGGAUGUGGCUCAAGCGGUAGCGCGCUCGCCUGGCAUGCGUGCAGCCGGGGUUCAAUCCUCAGCACCACAUACAAACAAAGAUGUUGUUUCUG